UGCAGGAGCAGGAGCACUGGCCAAUGUUAUACCAAUUAUAUUAGACCAAUAAAAACCAGCAGGAUCUUAUUAAAGAGGACAAGACAAAGAUGCCACAUUUAUUAUGAUAACAAUUUGAUUUAUGACUAA